rnacentral:rRNA from 1 species
UACGUAGGAGGCAAGCGUUGUCCGGAAUUACUGGCGUAAAGCGCGUGUAGGUGGUGGGACAAGGUCUGCUGUGAAAGCGCCUGGCUUAACCGGGCGAGGUCGGCGGAAACUGUCCGACUCGAGGACGGUAGAGGGGGGUGGAAUUCCCGGUGUAGUGGUGAAAUGCGUAGAUAUCGGGAGGAACACCAGUGGCGAAGGCGACUAUCUGGGCUGCAACUGACGCUGAGGCGCGAGGCUAGGGUAGCAAACAGG